rnacentral:rRNA from 1 species
UUAAGCGACUAAGCGUACACGGUGGAUGCCCUGGCAGUCAGAGGCGAUGAAGGACGUGCUAAUCUGCGAUAAGCGCCGGUAAGGUGAUAUGAACCGUUAUAACCGGCGAUUUCCGAAUGGGGAAACCCAGUGUGUUUCGACACACUAUCAUUAACUGAAUCCAUAGGUUAAUGAGGCGAACCGGGGGAACUGAAACAUCUAAGUACCCCGAGGAAAAGAAAUCAACCGAGAUUCCCCCAGUAGCGGCGAGCGAACGGGGAGCAGCCCAGAGCCUGAAUCAGUGUGUGUGUUAGUGGAAGCGUCUGGAAAGGCGCGCGAUACAGGGUGACAGCCCCGUACACAAAAAUGCACAUGCUGUGAGCUCGAUGAGUAGGGCGGGACACGUGGUAUCCUGUCUGAAUAUGGGGGGACCAUCCUCCAAGGCUAAAUACUCCUGACUGACCGAUAGUGAACCAGUACCGUGAGGGAAAGGCGAAAAGAACCCCGGCGAGGGGAGUGAAAAAGAACCUGAAACCGUGUACGUACAAGCAGUGGGAGCACGCUUAGGCGUGUGACUGCGUACCUUUUGUAUAAUGGGUCAGCGACUUAUAUUCUGUAGCAAGGUUAACCGAAUAGGGGAGCCGAAGGGAAACCGAGUCUUAACUGGGCGUUAAGUUGCAGGGUAUAGACCCGAAACCCGGUGAUCUAGCCAUGGGCAGGUUGAAGGUUGGGUAACACUAACUGGAGGACCGAACCGACUAAUGUUGAAAAAUUAGCGGAAUGACUUGUGGCUGGGGGUGAAAAGGCCAAAUCAAAACCGGGAGAUAGCUGGUUCUCCCCGAAAGCUAUUUAGGUAGCGCCUCGUGAAUUCAUCUCCGGGGGUAGAGCACUGUUUCGGCAAGGGGGUCAUCCCGACUUACCAACCCGAUGCGAACUGCGAAUACCGGAGAAUGUUAUCACGGGAGACACACGGCGGGUGCUAACGUCCGUCGUGAAGAGGGAAACAACCCAGACCGCCAGCUAAGGUCCCAAAGUCAUGGUUAAGUGGGAAACGAUGUGGGAAGGCCCAGACAGCCAGGAUGUUGGCUUAGAAGCAGCCAUCAUUUAAAGAAAGCGUAAUAGCUCACUGGUCGAGUCGGCCUGCGCGGAAGAUGUAACGGGGCUAAACCAUGCACCGAAGCUGCGGCAGCGACACUAUGUGUUGUUGGGUAGGGGAGCGUUCUGUAAGCCUGUGAAGGUGUACUGUGAGGUAUGCUGGAGGUAUCAGAAGUGCGAAUGCUGACAUAAGUAACGAUAAAGCGGGUGAAAAGCCCGCUCGCCGGAAGACCAAGGGGUUCCUGUCCAACGUUAAUCGGGGCAGGGUGAGUCGACCCCUAAGGCGAGGCCGAAAGGCGUAGUCGAUGGGAAACAGGUUAAUAUUCCUGUACUUGGUGUUACUGCGAAGGGGGGACGGAGAAGGCUAUGUUGGCCGGGCGACGGUUGUCCCGGUUUAAGCGUGUAGGCUGGUUUUCCAGGCAAAUCCGGAAAAUCAAGGCUGAGGCGUGAUGACGAGGCACUACGGUGCUGAAGCAACAAAUGCCCUGCUUCCAGGAAAAGCCUCUAAGCAUCAGGUAACAUCAAAUCGUACCCCAAACCGACACAGGUGGUCAGGUAGAGAAUACCAAGGCGCUUGAGAGAACUCGGGUGAAGGAACUAGGCAAAAUGGUGCCGUAACUUCGGGAGAAGGCACGCUGAUAUGUAGGUGAAGCGACUUGCUCGUGGAGCUGAAAUCAGUCGAAGAUACCAGCUGGCUGCAACUGUUUAUAAAAACACAGCACUGUGCAAACACGAAAGUGGACGUAUACGGUGUGACGCCUGCCCGGUGCCGGAAGGUUAAUUGAUGGGGUUAGCGCAAGCGAAGCUCUUGAUCGAAGCCCCGGUAAACGGCGGCCGUAACUAUAACGGUCCUAAGGUAGCGAAAUUCCUUGUCGGGUAAGUUCCGACCUGCACGAAUGGCGUAAUGAUGGCCAGGCUGUCUCCACCCGAGACUCAGUGAAAUUGAACUCGCUGUGAAGAUGCAGUGUACCCGCGGCAAGACGGAAAGACCCCGUGAACCUUUACUAUAGCUUGACACUGAACAUUGAGCCUUGAUGUGUAGGAUAGGUGGGAGGCUUAGAAGUGUGGACGCCAGUCUGCAUGGAGCCGACCUUGAAAUACCACCCUUUAAUGUUUGAUGUUCUAACGUUGACCCGUAAUCCGGGUUGCGGACAGUGUCUGGUGGGUAGUUUGACUGGGGCGGUCUCCUCCUAAAGAGUAACGGAGGAGCACGGAAGGUUGGCUAAAUCCUGGUCGGACAUCAGGAGGUUAGUGCAAUGGCAUAAGCCAGCUUGACUGCGAGCGUGACGGCGCGAGCAGGUGCGAAAGCAGGUCAUAGUGAUCCGGUGGUUCUGAAUGGAAGGGCCAUCGCUCAACGGAUAAAAGGUACUCCGGGGAUAACAGGCUGAUACCGCCCAAGAGUUCAUAUCGACGGCGGUGUUUGGCACCUCGAUGUCGGCUCAUCACAUCCUGGGGCUGAAGUAGGUCCCAAGGGUAUGGCUGUUCGCCAUUUAAAGUGGUACGCGAGCUGGGUUUAGAACGUCGUGAGACAGUUCGGUCCCUAUCUGCCGUGGGCGCUGGAGAACUGAGGGGGGCUGCUCCUAGUACGAGAGGACCGGAGUGGACGCAUCACUGGUGUUCGGGUUGUCAUGCCAAUGGCACUGCCCGGUAGCUAAAUGCGGAAGAGAUAAGUGCUGAAAGCAUCUAAGCACGAAACUUGCCCCGAGAUGAGUUCUCCCUGACUCCUUGAGAGUCCUGAAGGAACGUUGAAGACGACGACGUUGAUAGGCCGGGUGUGUAAGCGCAGCGAUGCGUUGAGCUAACCGGUACUAAUGAACCGUGAGGCUUAACCUU